UCAUGAUUUACAACGCCGUGAGAGGUCAACUGGUGAGUACCACGUCCGAAACUUGCCCAGAAACGGGGGAUACCACCUGGAAACGCAUGCUAAUCCUGCAUAACAACUUGUACCCCCCGGCCCGAGCUCGAAAGAUGGACUUGGCAAUCACUUUUGGACGGUCCCGCCGCGUAUUAGCUAUAUGGUGGGGUAACGGCUCACCAUGGCAAUGAUACAUAGCCGACCUGAGAGGGUAAUCGGCCACUUUGGGACUGAGCCACGGUCCAACUUUCUACGGGAGGCAGCAGUAGGGAAUCUUCCACAAUGGACGAAAGUCUGAUGGAGCAACGCCGCGUGAGUGAAGAAGGGUUUCGGCUCGUAAAACUCUGUUGUUAAAGAAGAACAUAUCUGAGAGUAACUGUUCAGGUAUUGACGGUAUUUAACCAGAAAGCCACGGCUAACUACGUGCCAGCAGCCGCGGUAAUACGUAGGUGGCAAGCGUUGUCCGGAUUUAUUGGGCGUAAAGCGAGCGCAGGCGGUUUUUUAAGUCUGAUGUGAAAGCCUUCGGCUCAACCGAAGAAGUGCAUCGGAAACUGGGAAACUUGAGUGCAGAAGAGGACAGUGGAACUCCAUGGUUAGCGGUG
rnacentral:rRNA from 2 species